CCAAAAUCACAAAUCUAACACGUGCGGAGCACGUGAAGAAGGAGGUUACUAACAAAUCAUAAUCUUUGGGGUGUUACAAUUGGCUCUUGAGAUGUUUCGGGAUCACGAAAUGGUCUCCGGAUUGCUCAAAUUUCAGCCGGACAGCAAAUUGGUGCAGAGGAGUAGAAACCAGGCGGCUAGCCGCUUGAAAUCUGCUCAAACUCGAGAGCAAGCGGCUAGCCGCUUGCCCCCAAGCGGUUAGCUGCUUGGUCACGGGUUUAAGAGAUUUUCCCCCUCUUUUUCAUGUGUUCUUCAACCUCUCUCCAUUCUCUCUCAAAGCCGAACAUAUCCCCUGCAUUUCCACUUAAUAUUUCUUCAUUUCUCACUCUUUUUCAUGGCAAGAUCAAAUCUUUAAAACCAUUGCCCAUGUAUUUAACCUCUCAUUAAACACUUCCCAAUCAUCAUUUCUUCACUUGUUCUUCAUCAUUUCAUCAUCAUCUCUCACGCGUGAACAAUACUUCUCCAUUUGUCUCUCAAAUUUCUUCAUCUUUUACUCAUUUUCUUGUUAAAAUCAAUCAUCCAAAUCAUUAUUUAUUCAUCACUCCUUCAAUUUUCGUUCUUAAAACUUUAUUUCAUCAACUCUCCACAUAAAACCCAAAAUAAAAAACCUUACUCUACCCGUUUCUCUCUCUUCAUUUUCAAGCUUCCUUUAGCCCAUUUUUUAUCCAAUCUACAUCAUAUAUUAGCUUCAUUCAUCUCUAGGAUCGAUUUUCUUGGCUCAAACAAAUCCAUUUCACUCAAUUUUUUGUAAACCCGAAAUUGGAUCUUUAAGCUUGUUUUUGUUCCAACAAUGGUGGGUGGUGAAAAAUCCAAGAGCAAACAAGUUGCCAAGAGACGCAAGGACGAUUAUGGAGAUAAUACGGAGUUCAUAUCAACCCACUUUCAGCAUCUACUUCUUUGGAAACGGCUUCACGACAAUUUUAUGUCGAGGUCGGUUAUCGCUCCC
rnacentral:lncRNA from 1 species